rfam:Schistosoma mansoni strain Puerto Rico chromosome 2, complete genome
AUCCAGCUGACGAUUCCCAAAUACAACGAAACGUGAGUCCUGGAU